rnacentral:sRNA from 1 species
AGAGUUUGAUCAUGGCUCAGAAUGAACGUUGGCGGCGUGGAUUAGGCAUGCAAGUCGAACGGGUCUAGCAAUAGACCAGUGGCGCAAGGGUGAGUAAGGCGACGGUAACCAACCCCAUGGUUGGGUAUAGCCGCGGGAAACUGCGGGUAGUCCCCAGCGACGUAAGAGACCGGCAUCGGUGUUUUACCAAAGCUUCGGCGCCGUGGGACGGGCCAUCGUGGUAUUAGGUAGUUGGCGGGGUAACAGCCCACCAAGCCUGUGAUGCCUACCGGGCGUGCGAGCGUGGCCCGGCACACUGGGACUGAGACACUGCCCAGACUCCUACGGGAGGCUGCAGUCGAGAAUCUUCGGCAAUGGGCGCAAGCCUGACCGAGCGACGCCGCGUGGAGGAUGNAAGGCCUUUCGGGGGUUGUAAACUUCCUGUCCGAAGGGGGGAACGGAAAGGGGCAA